rnacentral:tRNA from 1 species
GCGCCCAUAGCUCAGCUGGAUAGAGCGCCUGUCUACGGAACAGGAGGUCGGGGGUUCGAAUCCCUCUGGGCGCACCA